UACAGAGGGUGCAAGCGUUAAUCGGAAUUACUGGGCGUAAAGGGUGCGUAGGUGGUUAUUUAUGUCUUAUGUGAAAGUCAAUGGCUUAACCAUUGAAUGCCAUGAGAAACUGGAUAACUAGAGUACUGUAGAGGGUAGUGGAAUUCCUGGUGUAGCGGUGAAAUGCGUAGAUAUCAGGAGGAACAUCAGUGGCGAAGGCGACUACCUGGACAGAUACUGACACUGAGGCACGAAAGCGUGGGUAGCGAACAGG
rnacentral:misc_RNA from 1 species